rnacentral:rRNA from 1 species
GAUUGCAGGCUGAAACUGCCUGCAUGAAGUCGGAAUUGCUAGUAAUCGCAGAUCAGCAUGCUGCGGUGAAUACGUUCCCGGGCCUUGUACACACCGCCCGUCACACCAUGGGAGUCGGUAACACCCGAAGCCUGUAGUCUAACCGCAAGGAGGACGCGGCCUAAGGUGGGUUCGAUAAUUGGGGUGAAGUCGUAACAAGGUACC